AUCCCUUCUAGGUCUUUUGGUUAAGGGCAAGUGUAGGAUCUGUUUUUAUCAGUUUAAUAUCUGGUACGUCCUUUAUCCCAGGACAAUAUAUUAAGUGGAUUUUUGGAGCAGGGAGAUGGUUGAAAAUAAUACACCAUGCUUAACGUUGACCAGUUGCU
rnacentral:snRNA from 1 species